CUCAAAAAAAAAAAAAAAAAAAAAAAAAAGAUUCAUAGAUUAUAUUUGAAAUAAGCUAUGAAAUCUCACAAAGUAGACAUAGAGUUUUUAGUGAAAUAGAUUCAGGGUAUUUAUCUAUUCACUUUUUAUAUUUAUAAGAGAAAAAUCUCUGCAAGCUAUUUUGAUUUAGUUAUAAUUUUAUGGUUAUAUUUUGAAAGCUAUAUAUGUCACAGAAUGAAACCCUCAUGUUCUUAAUCUGUAAAAUCAAGGUAAUUAAUCCUCAUUGGAAGUUUGAAUAAUGAUGUUCCCUCCAAAAUUCAUGUUGAAACUUAAUCUCCAUUGUAAUGUUAUUAAGAGGCGAGGUCUUUUGGGGGAAUUAAGUCAUGAGGGCUCCAAAAUCAUGAACAGAUUAGUGCCUUAUAAAAAGGUUAAAGGAAACUAACCUGAGUCCUUUUUGCCCUUCUGCCAUGUGAGGACACAAAGUUCACCUUCUCUGCCAUGUUGAGGACAUGGCAAAAAGACCCUCUUCAGGCACCAAAUGCUGGCAGCUUGAACUUGGACUUUUCAGACUUCAGAUCUGUCAGAGAUAAGUUUCUGUUCUUUAUAAAUUACCUAGUUUUGAGUAUUUUUAAAUAUCAGCACAAAUGAACUAGACAUAGAGUUCCUAGUGAAAUUACAGGCACUAAAUAAAUGGUACAAUUAUGUGGUUGUUGUUAUAUUAAUAUAUUCAUUUCUGACAUUUAUCUGAAAGAUCUCUGUUUCAACAGUUACUAAUUACAUUUGAUGUGGGACACAUUUUCAUGCACAGGUCAAAUAUUUACAUAUGUCAAUAGCAACUAGUAUGAUCCCGUUUUACUAACAUUUUAAGAAAAUUUCCACAUAAUUUUCUUUACAUAUAAAUACAUUUUCAUUCUCACCAUUGUAUGUUUUGAAAAGAACAAUACUAUUAAAGAUUAAUAAAAAAUUUUUUCCGUCAUCUUACAUGACCCAAUAUGUUAAUAACAGCCUAUAGAGUUUAUUUAGCGCCUACUACACUACAAAUAGUGUGUUAUGUUGUGCAUUUUAAACGUACUUCUGGCCCUCACAACACACAUAUUAUGAUAACAGCCUAUAGGGUUUAUUUAGCGCCUGCUACACUAUAAAUAGUGUGUUAUGUUGUGCAUUUUAAAUGUACUUCUGGCCCUCACAACACACAUAUUAUGAUCACUUGGAUAUGAUGUGAGGAGAGUUAAAAAGGCUAUGUCAUUUGCCUAACGUGGCUAAAACAUGAACUGUUACAGGUUUGUCUGAGUUACUUUCCCAAAUUUUCUAGAAACACAGUCAUCUUUUAUCAAGGUUGACUCAGCCAACUGAUGGUAAACCUGAAGCUAGGUUUUCUAGAUUUGCAGUUUAUUUAAAUAGGAAUAACUUGAUGUUCUUUAAUCUGUUCUGUACUACUAUAAGAAUGUACAAUUGUCUCAAAGUUUUCCUUUAUUUUUUGGAUAUUACUGACAACACUAAAGAUUAAAUGCUUUGCUCAGUAACAACAAAUUUUUAGCCAUAUCUAUAUAAGAUAUGCUGAUAUUACUUUAUUCUCCUUUAAAGAGUAAGUUCAUGAAAUAUUGAACUUCCUAAAUACUGACUAAAGUAUAACAAAUACUUCAAUAUACAUAAUUGAAAUGACAUUUGGUAUUGAAUUGACUGUUGCACUAUAAAACUUUAGAAAUUAAAGGGUCACCAUGAAUUAGUCCACUUAAUAUUGAGGCCCAGAGGAUUUGCAAAGACCUACAACUGGAACACAGAUUAUUGUCAACUAAACGAUAUUCAUGUAUAAUAUUAUUUGAGGUACAUGUCUUAAUGCAUUAAAAUUUAGGCUGAAUGUAAGGUUUAUUUGUUCAUACAGUAAUUAUUAAUUGUCUUCGAUACAUCAGAUGUUGUUUUAGGCACUGGGAACUUGAUGGUAAAUGAAAUAGAUAAGGCAAAUUAUAUAAAUAAGGUUCCUGCUUUCAUGGGGCUUAUGGCCUAUUGCUUGUGAAUAAAACAAUUCAGAAACUAGGGAACAAAUAAGUAAAAAUAUUUUAUAUUUUUUUAAAUGCAAUGAUGAGCAUAGCCUGGAGACUCAGAAAUGUACAUGUGUGUUUGCACAUGUGUGUCCCCAUGUGCUUGCAUGUAUGAAGGCAUAUGUGGAAUACUUUAGGGAAGAAACUCUGAGACCAUGACAUGUACGCUCAUACAUUUGCGAUUCAAACUACAAUUAGAAGCCCACUGUGGGAAAAUCUGCCAGUGUGUUUCAGAAAAUAAAAAGGCCCUGAGAUAAAACAAAAAACAAAACAACAGCAAGAAAAAAUACCUUGGAAAUUUGAGGAAAUAGAAUUAAAAAUAGUGAAUAGGGAUUAAACAUUUGUACAUAUAAGUGGCCUAAGUGUAGUGGUAAAUGAUGUGAUAUGCUUUAUAUGUUUCAAGCAUCAGUUGGACUGCUACAAAAAGAAAGGGGAAAAAUAUCUUUUUAUUAAGGAAUUGAUGUUUAUGACUCAUUCAAUCAUUUAUUCAACAUCGAGUUCCUACUUUGUGCCAAGCACUCUUCUAGGCACUGAAGUAAUAGCAGUGAAUACAACAAAGUCCUGAAUCUUACGGCCCUUACAGCAAAGUUAGGGUAGUCACACACAUAUAAACAAACACAAAAAUCAGAUACUGGUAAGUACUUCAGUCCAAGCAUAAGCCAUGGUAAUCGAAUAGGAAGUGAAGUCGUAUUCUGUGUGUCUCGCUAAUUUAUACAAGUGGCUGAGGAAGAGUUCCCUAAUUAAUUUACAUCUGAGUACAUACUACAAGUCAGUAAGAGGAUUUAUAAUGUGGACAUUUAUGGGAAGAACAUUUCAGGCAGAGAGCCAUGUCAAGGGCAAAUUGAGUGAGGUAGGGGGAAUUUUUUUACAUAUUUUAACCUACAUUAUGUCAAGAAAUGCGAAAGAAAGGUCAGAAUUUUGGCCUUGUAUGUCUAGCAUAUCUGUUAAUUUUUGAAAAAUAUGUUGCAAAAUCUUUAGUCUCUACAUAUUACAAAGUCUAGCAGACUUUGAGAAAGACACUACCAUUUAGAAAGCAGAAGAAAGAGAAUCCUGUAGUGGUGGUUCUCAGAUCCUACUGAAUGAGUAUUAUAUUGCAUCUCGGCCUUGGAGAUAGAAAAUAUUUCUCACAUAGGACCACAGUUUUGGAUCAGGUGCAGCUCUCUAUUCUUGUCAAUGGCCCUUGAUUCUACCUUCCAAAAAUUCCUUUCUCUUCUAUUAUUCUUGUUGGUUUCAUCUGAAGAGGAUACUAAAGAAUAUACUCUCUCUAAAGGCCAAAUGAUGCUCUGCUCAUAAAUAUUUGGGGCCUCAAACUUCUCUUUCAGAGACUGAUUAUUUGUCCAUAAUAAUUCCAUUUUACCAUACUGGGUGAUAAGUAAUACUGUGGUCUUAAUAUUAAUGUAUCAAUUGAUGAUGCAUUUGAUAUGUCUAUUUGUUUUUUUAUAAACAAAGUUACUGUUUUCUCCAUGAAUAUUUCAGAUUAGCCAAGGUUACUAGGCAUAGUGGAUGGAAAGAAUAGGACAUAUUUUAUGUCCCAAAGAAAUUUAUCAGAGGAUAUUCAUAAGAAUAUCAGUACUUAUAGCACAGUGACUAAUAAAUACUGUAAAAGUGGUCAUGUUCAGUGUGCUGUGGGAGCAGGGAGGAGGACCAGUCUAGCACUAUAGAUUAGAGUUAGGUUUCCACAUUUGGUAAUUGGUUUUUCUAAGCCCAAAGCAUAAAAAGUAAUUAGUCAAAGAAAGAGAGAUAUUUCUGCAGAGAAUGUGUAAAAGCAGAGACUCCUGAGGAAUGGACAUUCAAUCAGAAAAUACAGAGGACAUUUUUUUGGUGGGGGUGCUGGAAAAUAAACUUUCUAUUGGGAAGUUUAUAAGCAGGGUUCUCUAGAGGGAGAGAACUAAUAGGAUAGAUGUACAUAUGCAGGGGAGUUUGUUAAGAAAUAUUCACUCACACAAUCACAAGGUAGAGUCCCACAAUAGACCAUCUACAAGCUGAGGAGCAAGGAAGCCAGUCCGAGUCCCAAAACCUCAAAAGUAAGGAAGCUGAAAGGUCAGCCCUCAGUCUGGCUGAAGGCCAAGAUACCCUGGCUAAUGACUGGUGUAAAUCCAAGAAUCUAAAGCUGAAGAACUUGGAGUUUAAUGUUUGAACACAGGAAACAUCCAGCACAGGAGAAAGAUGAAGGCAGAAGACAGCCAGUCUGUUCUUUCCAAAUUCUUAUGCCUACUUUAUUCUAGCUAUUCUGGCUACUGAUUAGAAGGUGCCUACCCAGACUGAUUGUCAGUCUACUUCUUUCAGUCUGCUAACUCAAAUGUUAAUCUGCUUUGGGAACACCCUCACACAGACACACCCAGGAACAGUACUUUGCAUCCUUCAAUCUGAUCAAGUUGACCCUCAAUAUUAACCAUCACGAGUCCUCCGCUUUUCAACUUGAACCCAUACACAUCUCCUGAAGUCAUCCAUAUUCUUCAAAUAAAGACAAAAAUAAGGUCAGAAUUACACCAGACAUAUUCCAGACAUUUAGUAUGUGCACUAAUCCUUAACCUAAAUGCUAUCACAUAAAGUUAACAACACUGAAAUGCUGAUAAUAAAUAUGAUGUCAUAUAAUAAAGGAAAAAGGUAAACUGAAAAUAUGUUCUUAAUACAAGUGUAUACAUGCACAAACAUAUUGUUAACAAAAUAAGGAGAAAAUGCUCAUGACAAUAACAGUCUUCAUUUCUGCAACUAGUCAUGUGGUCAUAGCUGAUACUGAUGACUACCUUCUUCUACUACUGAUUCUGUAUUUUUUUGCCUUCAGCAAGUACUUCUGGUAGUGUUUUUUUACCUGGUAGAGUGACCCUGAAGGGUCUGGGCCAUCUGUGGUCCUGCCUGGAUUGGGUUCUUGUAGCUUUCCAUUGACCUUAAUCACAGAGCAUGGUAAUACUAAGAGACACCCUUAGGGAUCUCCUGUAUUCCACACAUGCUCUUCCUUACCGCCAUUGUGGAGUAGUAGACUGAUUUAUUUGUGAUAGGGCUGUCCAAUAGCUCAGCCAAUGCUGUAACUCCCUUCUUAGCCUGUUGAGUUAGAGGUAUGAGUCCAAAGUGGCCAGGUGUAAAUGAUGUUAACUUCCAGUUUAAUGGAAUCAUUGUUGUGUCUCUUGAUGACAGCAUUCCUCCCUCUGGAACUAAGACCUCUGGGCCAACAGAAUGUAGUGUCAUGGAAACAAAAAACAAACAUUUUGCUAGUGAGUCAUUAGGGGUGAUGGUGAGUGGUGCCACUUCUACUUCCACCUUUGAUUCCUGAGCCCAUGAAUUCUGGCUAUGGGAGAAAGAGUAUCAUUUACUGAAUGCUAAUUUAGAGCUUAUACAGCCUGGAUAACUUUGCCCCAGACCUGCAAAGUAUCAUUACUUAAAUGGUAUUGUAAUUGUGACUUCAGAAGGCCUUUCACAGUUCUACCAAUCCAGCUGCUUCAGGAUGAUGGAAAACAUGCCCUUCAUCUACAGAAGAUAAGACUCUCACUCAGGGCAAUCUUACAAGACUUGAGGCUCAACAUACCCAGAAGCAAUACUUUGCAUUCUUCAAUCUGAUCAAGUGGACACUCAAUAUUAGCCAUCACAGGAAGUAUGAGUUCUAGGGAUGUCCUUAGGUUUCCUGCCUCCAGGCCCUAUUCUCCUGCCUCAGUAGCAUCAUCUGAAAGGACUUGAAUGAUCAUUUAUUCUUUGGACUGACUGCCUUAGGAAUUCUGUAUUUCUUCAAAAUGAUGGCCCUCUUCUCAGAUGUAUGAAGCAUAGUUAUCAUAAUGGCUGACUUUUAACACAGAUGACAUCAUUUGAACAUCAUAAUGGAACUGAGAAUUCUUAGUUCUGUCAAAUAUAAAAGAGAUGUUAGAAAGUCACAAUUUGUAGCAGACCCAAAUGGAUAAAACCAAACACACUAAAAACCUUAUAACUGGGAAAAGGAUGUCUUCAAACAAUGGAAGAACCGUCUGCUGGAAUGGAGGUGAGGAGAACUGGAAAGACACAGUUGGAAACUCUUUGACCUGGGGCAUCUAUGAACAUAGGAUCUCCAUUUUAAAGCCAUAGAAACCUGAACAUCUGCAGAUUUUGGUAUUGAAAGGAGGUGCUGGAACUAAUUGCACAAGGAUAAUGAGGAACAACUAUACUUCAUCUUGUGGGGUAAAAAUUUGUGUGCAGUAGGAUCACAAUACAACACAUAUUUUAGUUUGUAAAGUAUGACUAUAAUUCAAAAAAUACAAAAAAAAAAGUAUCAUGUGUUUAUCUUUUAUACUUUACAAUUUCUACAUCAUUUAAUGUUUUAGUUACACCUGGUUAUAAAUUAACAGUUUAACAAUAUUAGUUAAAAAUAAGGAAGUGGCAUUUGUAUUAUGUAUUUUGAGUUUUAAUUUAUGGAUAAUUAAACAUUCUUCUCUGAACUACUUUUUCAAGAAAAGUUUAAAUUCUUCUAAAUACUUCAGAAUGGCAGUUGUUUUUGAUCUGAGCAUAGGUAAACUUGAUUUAAAAGGACAAUUGGCAAUGGGAGGAGGGGAGUAUUGCAAUAGGGUAAAGGAGACUUGCAAAAGGAGAACUCUGACCAUAAAAUCUGAGUCUCAAGGGUAGGGAAGAAAGGAAUUUUAUUUAAUUGACUGGAGUAAAAAUGGCUAGAGGGACUCAGGUAUGAGGGAGUGUGAUGAGCAGGUGAUAUGACUAGACAGUUUAUCGGGGAACUUCUUUAUUUGGGGCUGAUUCUUGGACGCAUGGCUUAGGAGAGUCAUUCUACAUUCUGAUGAUGGCUUAGGAUAGGGUGGGUUGAAGCUCAGGAUUCUGAGGAGAGGACAGAAGCUUGACUAAAGUUUUGUCUAGUCCAGUUAUCAGGUGUUUUAUCCAGAUUGGCCAGUGUGUAUUUGUUGUUCAGCUAAUCAAACAUGAGACAAAGAAUGGGAAUGUGGAAGGUCUCUGUCUAGCUUUGUCAUAGUGAAUAUGAAAAGCAAUCAUGAUUCUUAUCUAAGUAAUCUGGGAAAGGGUUUUUCUUUGAAGUAAGUCCAUUUUUUUUUAGAACAGAAAAGAACAAGGGAUUUCUUUAAACUUUGAUGUUUUUCAGGAGCACAGGGCUCAAGACUAACACUGCCAGUAGUGAACUAAACAAUGUCAGUGGAAGUAACUCUGAAGUCCCAAAGAGUUAGUACUAAUUUUACUUAGAAAUAUAAUCCCUUCCAAGGCAGGUGGAUCACUUGAGGUCAGGAUUGUGAGACCAGACUGACCAACAUGGUGAAACCUUAUCUCCACUAAAAAUACAAAAAAAAAAAAUAGCUGGGCACAGUGGCAGGUACCUGAUAUCUCAGCUACUCAGUAGGCUGAGGUAGGAGAAUCACUGGAACCUGGGAGGUGGAGGCUACAGUAAGCCGAGAUCACACCAUUGCACUCCAGCCUGGGCAACAGAGUAAGACUCAGUCUCAAAAAACGAAAAAAAGAAAAGAAAAGAAAUAUAAUCUCUUGUGUACUGAAUUCAUUUUUGUAGCCAUACUUGAUGAAGAGAUACUAAAACUGCUGUGCUUAUUUGUGGGCUUAUAAUGUGGCUAAUAAAGCCACAAACGAUCAAAAUUUGAACAGUAAUUAUAAACAAAAAACUUUAAAACAAAAAAAAGAAAAUGAAGGGAAACAUAUUGAAUUAAAGGUUGCUAGAAGCAGGUGCUUAAUAUUUUCCCUAUAAACAAUAGUGCUUUGCAGGAUUAUAAUAAACUAGCACUUAGCUAAGACUGAAAAUAUACAAUUGCCAUGACAUUAGGUUUGCUUGGAAAUGUUUAGUGAGUUUGUAGCAGAGAAGGUAGUGAAAAUACUACAUUCCACUGACACUACAUUGACAUGUUUCAGAACAGACUAAUGACAAAGAGGAUCAUCUUAGGGUACAGUUAUAAUGUUUUGCACUGCAACUUGCAAAUGGCCGGAUGUGGCUAAUAUGACAAUUAAUACAUAUGUGUAUAUGUGUAUACACACACACAUAUACACACACAUAUGUGAAUAUAUGUAUAUAUAUACAUAAUAUGUAUACAUAUAUAUUUAUAUAUGAUUUGAACAUAGUAGCUAUGGAAAGGAGGCAUAUGUUUUUCAGCUUUGGAAAACACAACCCUGAAACAUAAAAGUAUAAAGAAUUACAUAGUUUUAAAAAUGUGGUUUAGAGCUUAAGAUUUUUUGAAUGUGUUUUGAGGACAGAGCUAUGAUAUCAGAAAACCUUCUGAAGUUAUUAUGUAGAUUAAAGAGUGAGCUUCUGCCAGAAUGUAAAUCAACACACUACUUCCUUCAAAGAGAGAGAUUUGCUGUGGAAAAAAAAGUGCCUAGUAACUUGGUAACAUUUGUUAAUUAUAGAAAGGCUAAAAUGUCAAAGUUGAGUGGUAAAAUAGAAAGCUGAUCAUAAUUGACAACAUUAUUUAGGAAUCAAAUAUUCUGUUCGAAAUAUUUCAAUUACUGAAUAAACAUUUAGUAUUUCUAAAAAAUAAAAAAAAAAUUCAUUUAAUGCCAACUUUUACAAACUAUAAGUUAGACAACUAGUUUUCAUAUUGAAUUUAUUGAGCAUUAAUAAUUUUUAAAAUUUUUGCUUGUGAAGACGUAUACAAUGCAGCUUUCAAUGGCAGAUAAACUCAAAGAGUGAAGACAAGAGUUAAAAGUCUAGAUGAAUCAUCUCUACAGAUUCCUUAACAUGUUUCAUAAUUUAAUGAUUAUAAGUUAAGUAGAGAAUGUUGAUAUUACAUAUAUAUGAAAAUUUAUUGAUAUGGUUUGGAUUUGUAAUCCUAACUGUUGAAAGAAGAGUCUAGUGGGAGGUGAUUAGAUCAUGGGCCGAAUCUCACCUUUGCUGUUCUCAUGAUAGUGAGGGAGUUAUCACCAGAUCUAGUUGUUUAAAAGUGUGUAGCAUCUCCGCCUACAUUCUCUUUCUUCUGCUCCAGCCAUGUAAGAAAGUGCCUGCUUGCCCUUCGUCUUUUUCUGCAAUUUCAGUUUUCCUGAGGCCUACCUAGCCAUGCUUCCUGUACCGCCCGUGAAACCUGAGCCAAUUAAAACGUUUUUCUUUAUAAAUUGCUCAGUCAUAGGCAUUUCUGAACAAUUCAAUAAUUUUAUAGAGACAUUUGAUUUGAAUUUUCCAAGAGAAUAAGAUUCACAUAUGGAAAAUCUUUGAAUGAGGAAUUGUUCUCUUUGGUUAUGAGAUAGUUUAAAGUUAAUUAUAAUUUUAUAGGAUAUGUUAUUGAAAUUGCUUACUGAUAGUGAUUGAAGAUGAAUUUUAAAAACCAACAUAUGUUGCUUUCUUCUGGAUAAAAGUUAAAAAUAAAUAUUCUGAGAUGGACUAAAAUCACUUUAAAUUUAACAUUCCAUUCAAUUCAACAAACGUGUAUGAGACUGAUUUCUCCACCCAUGUUAUUAAAACAAAAUGUAAAUAUCAUCUAGACAUACAUUAUCUUAGGAAGUAAUGCAAUCAUCAAUCUCACAUCGAUUAGAUAAGCUAACAAGCAUGAAGCAAGCUCAUUUAUCACGUUAAAUACUUUAAGUAGUGAUAUGCAUGGUAUUCAUCAAAGAGGCUGUAAAGGAAUUUAACAUGGAUAGUCACCAUUUCAUUUAUAACUUUUCAUUCAUGUAUACUUUGACAUGAUAGAAAGGUAGGCUGUGUUAGUGAUUCUCUACAUUACCACUUUUGAAUAGUCAAUGAACAUGUGGAGAUGUGUUAAUUUUUUUUUGUCUAUGUCAGUAGAAUUUGGUCUUUUCUUUCAUAUGUCUAUUUUACCCUUACAUUAUGUAUUAAG